AGUGAACGCUGGCGGUAGGCCUAACACAUGCAAGUCGAACGGCAGCACAGUAAGAGCUUGCUCUUACGGGUGGCGAGUGGCGGACGGGUGAGGAAUACAUCGGAAUCUACUUUUUCGUGGGGGAUAACGUAGGGAAACUUACGCUAAUACCGCAUACGGCCUACGGGUGAAAGCAGGGGAUCUUCGGACCUUGCGCGAUUGAAUGAGCCGAUGUCGGAUUAGCUAGUUGGCGGGGUAAAGGCCCACCAAGGCGACGAUCCGUAGCUGGUCUGAGAGGAUGAUCAGCCACACUGGAACUGAGACACGGUCCAGACUCCUACGGGAGGCAGCAGUGGGGAAUAUUGGACAAUGGGCGCAAGCCUGAUCCAGCCAUACCGCGUGGGUGAAGAAGGCCUUCGGGUUGUAAAGCCCUUUUGUUGGGAAAGAAAAGCGGCAGGUUAAUACCCCGCUGUUCUGACGGUACCCAAAGAAUAAGCACCGGCUAACUUCGUG
rnacentral:rRNA from 1 species